rnacentral:other from 1 species
GCAUUCCUGCCUUGUUCGACUUGUUGCGGCUUGAUAUAAUCCUACUAAUCAAAUCCAGGGAGCCCGGCGGUUGCCCGGCAGAUUGCAGACCUCCCGCCCCGCGCAUGCGCGGAGCAAGACGGACGAAGGGAGCGAGAAACCGGGCACAGGGCACCCACCUGCCAUCCGGUAGGUUUUGAUUGGUCGCAGACGGCAAGGCGGGGCCUUU